rnacentral:tRNA from 2 species
GAGAUAGAGCAGUGGUAGCUCGUCGGGCUCAUAACCCGAAGGUCGGAGGUUCAAGUCCUUCUCUCG